rfam:Oryza sativa Japonica Group DNA, chromosome 11, cultivar: Nipponbare, complete sequence.
AUUUAGUUUUUUCACUGAUCAUGUCUAACGUUUAACCAUCCAUUUUAUAUGAAAAAAUUUUAUAAUUAGUACUUUUGUUGUUAUUAGAUGAUAAAAUAUAAAUAACAAUUUUUUUUAAAUAAGAUAGAUGGUUAAAAGUUAGACACGGAUAUACGCAACUGUAUUUAAA